rfam:Candidatus Nomurabacteria bacterium RIFCSPLOWO2_12_FTLL_37_8 rifcsplowo2_12_scaffold_3314, whole genome shotgun sequence.
UGGGGGAUCGUCUAACGGUAGGACUUGGGAUUUUGGAUCCCACUAUUUAGGUUCGAAUCCUAAUCCCCCAG